rnacentral:rRNA from 1 species
AACGAACGCUGGCGGCAUGCCUAACACAUGCAAGUCGAACGAGACCUUCGGGUCUAGUGGCGCACGGGUGCGUAACGCGUGGGAACCUGCCCUUAGGUUCGGAAUAACUCCCCGAAAGGGGUGCUAAUACCGGAUAAUGUCUUCGGACCAAAGAUUUAUCGCCUUUGGAUGGGCCCGCGUUGGAUUAGCUAGUUGGUAGGGUAAAAGCCUACCAAGGCGACGAUCCAUAGCUGGUCUGAGAGGAUGAUCAGCCACACUGGGACUGAGACACGGCCCAGACUCCUACGGGAGGCAGCAGUGGGGAAUAUUGGACAAUGGGCGAAAGCCUGAUCCAGCAAUGCCGCGUGAGUGAUGAAGGCCUUAGGGUUGUAAAGCUCUUUUACCCGGGAUGAUAAUGACAGUACCGGGAGAAUAGCGCCGGCUAACUCCGUG